rnacentral:rRNA from 1 species
CCUACGGGGGGCAGCAGUGGGGAAUAUUGCACAAUGGGGGAAACCCUGAUGCAGCAACGCCGCGUGAGUGAAGAAGUAUUUCGGUAUGUAAAGCUCUAUCAGCAGGGAAGAAAAUGACAGUACCUGACUAAGAAGCCCCGGCUAACUACGUGCCAGCAGCCGCGGUAAUACGUAGGGUGCAAGCGUUACUCGGAAUCACUGGGCGUAAAGAGCGCGUAGGCGGGAUAGCAAGUCAGAUGUGAAAUCCUAUGGCUUAACCAUAGAACUGCAUUUGAAACUGUUAUUCUAGAGUAUGGGAGAGGUAGGUGGAAUUCUUGGUGUAGGGGUAAAAUGCGUAGAUAUUAGGAGGAACACCGGUGGCGAAGGCGGCUUACUGGACCGUAACUGACGUUGAGGCUCGAAAGCGUGGGGAGCAAACAGGAUUAGAUACCCCAGUAGUC